UUUGUUAAAUGUACAACUAAUUGUUAUCCUUGGUUGAUUUCACUGUGACAACUUCUGCACAACUAAAUUCACAAAAUACAGACUUAAGUUUGCCACGUAGACUCAGCCAUCCUUUUGAUUAUUCAGCACUUUCUGAGCUUGCACCCUCUUGACUCCAGGCUUUGUGAGGCAUAGACAGAGUACGUGGAAAGAGAAAAGUCAGUAAAAAGAUGAAAAUGCUGUGGCGUGGUUGGAGGGAGUGGCAUAGGGUGAUGGGGACUCCUGCCCAAGGAGGAAAAUAUGGCCUCUGUGCCCAAAGUCUUCUCUUGAGUCAGUAAAAUCUAUUUGUUUGUCCUUAAGCACGAGCCUGCUUAUUCUGUGAUUAGGAGAAUCAGAAAAAAGAAAUUAUCAGAUGAGAGUUGUUGUUGUUUCCCACCAGAAAUAUCCCUCA
rnacentral:lncRNA from 1 species